rnacentral:tRNA from 1 species
GCCUGGGUGGCUCAGUCGGUUAAGCAUCUGACUUCGGCUCAGGUCACAAUCUCGAGGUUUGUGGAUUCAAGCCCCACAUUGGGCU